UACGUAGGGGGCGAGCGUUAAUCGGAAUUACUGGGCGUAAAGCGUGCGCAGGCGGUCUGUUAAGACCGAUGUGAAAUCCCCGGGCUUAACCUGGGAACUGCAUUGGUGACUGGCAGGCUUUGAGUGUGGCAGAGGGAGGUAGAAUUCCACGUGUAGCAGUGAAAUGCGUAGAGAUGUGGAGGAACACCGAUGGCGAAGGCAGCCCCCUGGGCCAAUACUGACGCUCAUGCACGAAAGCGUGGGGAGCAAACAGG
rnacentral:rRNA from 1 species